ACGCUCGACACCUACGGAGGCAGCAGUGGGGAAUAUUGCACAAUGGGGGAAACCCUGAUGCAGCGACGCCGCGUGGAGGAAGAAGGUCUUCGGAUUGUAAACUCCUGUUGUUGGGGAAAAAGAGGAUGGUACCCAACAAGGAAGUGACGGCUAACUACGUGCCGGCAGCCGCCGGUAAUCUGAGCGGGCGUGGCAAGGC
rnacentral:rRNA from 1 species